UACGGAGGGUGCAAACGUUGCUCGGAAUCAUUGGGCGUAAAGGGUGCGUAGGCGGCGCGGUAAGUCGGGUGUGAAAUCUUGGAGCUUAACUCCGAAACUGCAUUCGAUACUGCCGUGCUUGAGGACUGGAGAGGAGACUGGAAUUUACGGUGUAGCGGUGAAAUGCGUAGAUAUCGUAAGGAAGACCAGUGGCGAAGGCGGGUCUCUGGACAGUUCCUGACGCUGAGGCACGAAGGCCAGGGGAGCAAACGGG
rnacentral:rRNA from 1 species